rnacentral:misc_RNA from 1 species
GCAGAGACAAGGCUCCUGAUGCACAUCACAGGCUUGCUUCCCUGGCUCUGCUUGCAGCUUAGCAAGGAUGCAACAGUGGCACCUGCUUCACCACUUCACCAGCAGUGGCAAAAGGCUUGUUCCGUUGCAAAUAACAUUGCUCUUUGGUGUCGAGCAAAGUCAUCGAAUGAAUUAGCCACUGUUUUUGUUGCUUAUGCCCGAGGAGAGGUCAACAGCAUUGAGAACCUCCUUGCUUGUGUCUCACCACUAUUAUGCAAUGAAUGGUUUCCAAAGCACUCUGCUUUGGCUUUUGGGCACUUGCUAAAACUAUUGGAGAAAGGUCCGGUUGAGUAUCAGCGUGUGAUACUGCUAAUGCUCAAAGCGCUGCUUCAGCAUACUCCUAUGGAUGCUUCCCAAAGCCCGCAUAUGUNNNNNNNNAGCUGGUGGAGAGUACAUUGUGUUGGGAAGCAUUGAGCGUGCUGGAAGCCCUUUUGCAGAGCUGUAGUUCAUUGACAGGUUCCCACCCACAUGAGUCAGGUUCUUAUGAGAAUGGUGCUGAUGAUAAGAUGCUUGCUCCUCAGACCUCAUUUAAAGCUCGGAGUGGGCCCCUACAAUAUGCCAUGGGAUCAGGGUUUGGGGUUGCAUCCACACCAGGUACACAAAGCGGAAUUGAAUCAGGCAUUCCACCUAGAGAGGUGGCUUUACAGAACACGCGUCUGAUCCUGGGAAGAGUACUUGACAACUGUGCACUAGGGAGGAGGAGAGACUAUAGAAGGCUGGUGCCUUUUGUAACCAGUAUUGGAAACCCGUGAUGGACAAACAUAAUCAUCUAGUGUAUAUAGGAAAACUUUAGGUCCUGGUUUUGCAAGUAGGCAUAAUAAAUUAGAGGUUGUAGUUAGUGAUGUAAUAUUUUUGCAGUCAGUCAUCACUUGUUCGCUUGAAUCAUAAUUACUUUGCAGCUUUUCGUGCAAGUAAUUGAAAUGUGAAAACAUUGUUCCAGUCA